UAAUGAAUAUUGGUCAAUGGACGCAAGUCUGAACAAGCCAUGCCGCGUGAAGGAUGAAGGUCCUCUGGAUUGUAAACUUCUUUUAUCUGGGACGAAAAAAGAUCAUUCUUGAGCACUUGACGGUACCAGAAGAAUAAGCACAGGCUAACUCCGUGCCAGCAGCCGCGGUAAUACGGAGGGUGCAAGCGUUAUCAGGAUUUACUGGGUUGAAAGGGUGCGUAGGUGGAUUUGUAAGUCAGUGGUGAAAUCUCCGAGCUUAACUCGGAAACUGCCAUUGAUACUAUAAGUCUUGAAUUAUCUGGAUGUAAGCGGAAUAUGUCAUGUAGCCGUGAAAUUCUUAGAUAUGACCCGGAACACCGAUUGCGACGGCAGCCCACUAAUCAAUUAUUGACGCUGAGGCACUAAAGCGUGGGGAUCAAAC
rnacentral:rRNA from 1 species